AUUGGGCGUAAGGGCUCGCAGGCGGUUUCUUAAGUCUGAUGUGAAAGCCCCCGGCUCAACCGGGGAGGGUCAUUGGAAACUGGGGAACUUGAGUGCAGAAGAGGAGAGUGGAAUUCCACGUGUAGCGGUGAAAUGCGUAGAGAUGUGGAGGAACACCAGUGGCGAAGGCGACUCUCUGGUCUGUAACUGACGCUGAGGAGCGAAAGCGUGGGGAGCGAACAGGAUUAGAUACCCUGGUAGUCCACGCCGUAAACGAUGAGUGCUAAGUGUUAGGGGGUUUCCGCCCCUUAGUGCUGCAGCUAACGCAUUAAGCACUCCGCCUGGGGAGUACGGUCGCAAGACUGAAACUCAAAGGAAUUGACGGGGGCCCGCACAAGCGGUGGAGCAUGUGGUUUAAUUCGAAGCAACGCGAAGAACCUUACCAGGUCUUGACAUCCUCUGACGAUCGGAGAGAUAGGACGUCCCCUUCGGGGGCAGAGUGACAGGUGGUGCAUGGUUGUCGUCAGCUCGUGUCGUGAGAUGUUGGGUUAAGUCCCGCAACGAGCGCAACCCUUGAUCUUAGUUGCCAGCAUUCAGUUGGGCACUCUAAGGUGACUGCCGGUGACAAACCGGAGGAAGGUGGGGAUGACGUCAAAUCAUCAUGCCCCUUAUGACCUGGGCUACACACGUGCUACAAUGGACAGAACAAAGGGCAGC
rnacentral:rRNA from 1 species